GCUGCUUAGGGCCUCUUGGGAGUCAGUGUUCGGUCACCUGUCCUUGCACAAACCAAGCUUAGUGGCUUCAAUCAGCCAUUUUCCGUUGCUCACAAAUUUGUGAGGCAUUUGGCAUGGGCUCAGCGGAGCUGUCUGAUCUAUGUGGCAUUAACUUCAGGACUCACUUCCAAGAUGGCGCCAGCACUCCUGUCUGGGGCCUCAGUGCCGCUCAAACGGCACCUCCGGCUCAGGGCGUGGCUUGCGCUGCCCGAGAGUGAGCUUCCCGAGAUUGUCUCGAGAGACCCGCUCGGACGCUGGGAGGCUUCCUAUGACCCAGCCUGAGAAAUUCCCUCGUGGCGUUUCUGCUGCACUCUGUUGGUUCAGCAAGUCCCUAGGGUGAGCCCACAUUCAGGGGGAGGUGAGGAGCUCCCUUGCUAGAGGAUGGCCACACCUAAGCUGGCAAGGACUUAGAGGGAUGGAGCGGGCUGGUCCUGGCCAGCUCACCUGGAUUAGGAGUUGAGGGAGGCCCAAGCUUGGCGGAGCGCUGUCGGCUCAGGCUGCCAUAACGAAGUACCUUCAGAGGGAGUUUGUCAGCAAGUGUGUUCUCGGUUCCGGAGCUGCACAUAGGAGAUCAAGGAGGGCGGACAGGAAGGGCCUCUGCAAGCGGCUUGACGUGGGUGUUGCAGCCCACAGGCAUCUGGCCCAGUUGAAGAAAGUGGAGGGCAUGUCUUCCCUGAAAGAGAAGGGAGGCAGCUCUGGGAAGACCCUGCUUCUGUGCAGUGAAAGGGAAGCCCUCACAAGCUGUUCUUAAUUGAGGCGUUGUGGAUGCUUUAGAGGGUGUGUCCCAGGAGACCCUGAAAAUGUCAGAAGCCAGACCCCACGAGGAGGCCUGUUGUGUACCGGGUCCGAGAACACUUGCUCAAGCAUGUGUGUUUGUGUAUGUGGCAUAUGUGUGUGCAUGCAUGUGUGCACAUAUGCAUGCACGUGUCUGCAUACGCCACCUGAACAGUGCGGGAGGGUGUGAUGAGUCAGCAGGGUUGCCGUAGUGACCCAGUGGACUGCGACCUCCAGCCAGUGGGCACACCAUGUCUCUGAUUUCUCACGGGUGGGUGACGUGGUUUUGAGAACCAGAGGGGCCUGACAGCCCCGCUUGCUGAUGCUUCCUGAGCACCUUAGCCCGGACCCUGGGGUGUGGAGGAGGAGAGGCGCUGCUGCCCUCACCCUUUCCGCGAGGAGCAUGUGGCACAAAAAUGGAGGCUGGUGAGUGCUGUGCGUGAGGCAUGCCAGCUCCUCCAAGGCAGAGGUCAGGGUGCUCCCUGGAGGGGGUGACGGCCAUGCCAAAACUUUAAGGUUACAGGGGACGCAACGCGAGGAGGGGCCUGAGGCUGGGCACGGGCAGGGGACACCCAAACCAUCCUGCAUGGAC